GACGAACGCUGGCGGCGUGCUUAACACAUGCAAGUCGAACGGCAAGGCCCUUCUUUUGUGGGGGGCUCGAGUGGCGAACGGGUGAGUAAUACGUGAGUACCCUGCCCUUGGCUUUGGGAUGACUUCAGGAAACUGGGGCUAAUACCCGAUAGGUGCUCCUGCUGCAUGGGGGGGGUUGGGAAGUUUAUGCGGUUGGGGUUGGACGGGCGGGUUAUCAGCUUGUUGGUGGGGUAGGGGUUUCCCAAGGCCUUGCCGGAUAGCCGGCAUGAGAGGGUGACCGGCGACAUGAGGCCUGAGGUACGGCCCAGACUCCUACGGGAGGCAGCAGUGGAAAGUAUUGCACAGUGGGCGGAAGCCUGAUGCAGCAGCGCCGGGUGCGGAAUGAAGGCCUUCGGGGUGUAAACCGCUUUCGCCUGUGACGAACCGUGAGUGACGGUAACGGGUAAAGAAGCACCGGCUAACUACGUG
rnacentral:rRNA from 1 species